ensembl:lncRNA
AAAUCUCAAUAGCAGAGGAAUAAAAGAACUGCUAUCUCAGAAGGUUUCUAUUUCAUUUGGUGCUACCUCAACUACAAAUUCACCUACCACGGGUGUCUACAGCUGCUAUCAGCCUCAACAGAGGCGACGUUCAUCCACUGGAGUGCAAGUAAAGCAUAUAGAUGAUGUUUCAGAAGAGGAGUGGAGAAAGAGAGUACAGCCUGGAGAGGAGCAGCCCAAUCGACCCAUUAAGAAAAUAUCCUCUUUUCUAUCCUCAAUUGUUGGCAAAAGUUCGGAUUCAGAAUCAACCAAAAAUAUAACUGUCUCUAGGUCACCUAAUGCCAAAGAUGCCCCAUACAUAAGUCAAAUUCAAAGCAAAUUUACUAAAGCCUCUGAAACUCGACUUGGUGAUCAGCAAACCAAAAACAUGAUCUCAACAGGUUUUCAAAGUCUUAAAUCAAAGCUCAUAAAGGAUGACUCCUCCUGUGCAACAACUCAGACAGAAAACACAAGUCACUUGGCAUCCAAACCAAUUUCAACAACAUCUGGUGUUUCAGUAUCAUCUCCAACACAGUCACCAGCUUCAACAACUCCUCAGAGUGCAUCCACUUUAAGCUCAUCUCAGAAACCCAAAUUGGCUAGACAAGCCACAAUGUCACAACAGUCCUCUGUUGCUUUAAAAUCUGUUUGUUCUACUACUUCAAUUUCAAGAGACUGCUCAAGUGCAACCUCCAAAUCGGCUUCCCCAGAAGUUUCUCAGCCAGUAGAUAAGCAUGGUGGCAAGCCAUCUGAGCAGUCUGGUGGGUUUUUAACCCUUUUCAAGACUGCAGUGGGGAUAGAAGAGGUAAAGUCAGAUCCCUCUAAAUCUACUCAGUCAGUAUCUAGACAACCAGAGAAAAAUGGAUCUGCUUCUGCUGGCAGAAAAGAUUCAACAACAAAUCAAGACAAAACUGGAAAGUCUAGCCUUUUUGGGUCAAUAGGUGAUAUUUUCAACAUAGAAAGUCCUUCACCACCAAACACAAAUCUGCAACAUUCUCCCUCACACCUGCAAUCAACUAAUGUACUAAAUGAUGUGAACAAAGACUGCUGCCAAACAAAAACAAUGCUUAAGGGAAUUCAGAAGCAACAAACAGUAAGUCCCUCUGGACAAGACGGUCAGUCGGAAUUACCUAGUGUAUCACAGUCAUUUCAGGGAAGGAGUGUCUCAGCAUCUCAGAUAUUUUCCCCUGAAGCUAACAAAGUACCAAUGCCAGGGAGAUCUCAAACUAUGCCACCAGCUGGGGAGACAAAACCAGAAGCCCCCUCCAAGCAAUCUGGUGGCUUGUUUGGUUUCUCUGUUGGGGAUAUGUUCUCUGGGGCCAC